CCGUAAUAGUUCAACACCACCUCCAUCUCACCACACGAGCAAUCAGAUGCCUCCACUCCCUCUCAUCCGUUGCCCCGAAUGCAACGCCGGCUACGUCCUGUGGUUCGUCUCCGGGACAGAACUGAACCCAGGGAGGCACUUCUACAAGUGCGAACGGCAUGGGGUAAGUUUUUCGAGACUGUCUCAUUCCAUCUUCUCCGGGGCAUUCUAAUCUUUGUGCAUGCUGCAGCACGGAGGGUGUAGGUUUUGGAAGUGGGAGAACAAGUACAUAUAGUACUUAAGCGAGCGGUGGGGACAUCUUAUCUCGCACGCGUCGGUCCAUCGCCAUGUCGCACUGCUCGAGCAGAACCAGGCAUUCCUGAAGAACAUUUUCAUGCUGUGCCUCGCGAAUUUGGUGGUCAUGGUCACUAUCUGCCUCCACAAA
rnacentral:lncRNA from 1 species